CAGCAGCCACGGGAACACGGAGGGUGCAAGCGUUAAUCGGAAUUACUGGGCGUAAAGCGCACGCAGGCGGUCUGACAAGUCAGAUGUGAAGUCCCCGGGCUUAACCUGGGAACUGCAUUUGAAACUGUCAGGCUGGAGUCUUGUAGAGGGGGGUGGAAUUCCAGGUGUAGCGGUGAAAUGCGUAGAGAUCUGGAGGAAUACCGGUGGCGAAGGCGGCCCCCUGGACAAAGACUGACGCUCAGGUGCGAAAGCGUGGGGAGCAAACAGGAUUAGAUACCCCGGUAGUCCCUGUCUCUUAUAC
rnacentral:rRNA from 1 species